rnacentral:rRNA from 1 species
AUGGUAGACGAUGGCAUGGUCGAUCCGCACGUGGAGGACUCCCUCCGAGCCAUGCAGUCCGAGGUGAACAGCGGGCUGCAGGAGAGGGCGGAGUUCCCCUCGAUCGCGCAGCUGGACUGGGUGGACUACAUCGAGGACACCGCCGUCGCGCUCGCCGGCGAGAUGGAGGAGGACGGGGAGGACCUCACGCUCGGCGCGGACGUGUUCGCCACAAGGGACGGCGAGGAGGAGCUGGUGGCCGAGCUUCGGAGCCAGGCCGCGUGGUGCGACGAACGGCGCCGGCAGGCGGACGCGCUUGCGGCCGACGCUCGUGGCCUGCGGGACAGGUAUGUGAGGGCCGCCGCAGGGAUCACGACGGAGUACCAGGACGGGGGCGAGCUCCUGCGCGCGGCGACGUCGGAGUUCCGGCAGCACGUGGCCAAGGAGAUGGACGGCGGCGGGGUGCCCGAGGCGGACGCGGCUAGGGCGGAGGCGAUCGAAGCGGCCGCGAGGGCCGGUCAGGGCGUUGGCGCGCGGUUUACGGACAUGUUCGUGGGGCUGGCUGAGAGGCUCCGGCGGCGCGCGUUGGAUUAUGGGGCCGGGGAUGAGGUGCUCGUGGAGGCUCUGACGCGGCGCGCGGCGGAGGUGGAGGAGCUGUGCGCGGACCCGGAAGCGCUCGUGGCCAGGAUGUUGCCCUCGAGUUCAUGGAGGCUGUGGAGGGCUGUCAACAGCCACGCCAGACCUCAAGGGUCCAUCACCGCAACGCCUCUUUGA